GGUUUUUUGUUUUGUUUGGGUUUGUUUCUGGAUGCCAGGGAAAACCUGGACCUGUCUCUGAACC
ensembl:miRNA